rnacentral:rRNA from 1 species
UCUGGUUGAUCCUGCCAGUUGUCACGCAGUUACUUUCAAGCCUAAGCCAUGCCUAUCGGGUGCAUUGUUUACGAGAACUGUGAAUGGCUCAUUUGGAGGGUUGAAAGUGCAGGACUUUCUCGGGCGGACAUCUGCAGCAAUUUCGCAUCGAUUACGGUUACAGGUUCUCCCAUCUGAAUACGUGAUGACAGUUACGGUUUGCUAAUACUUGGUGAUGGCUGAUGAGAAUCCAAACUUCACCUCUCUUAUCAGCAUCAAAUAACUUGUUCUUAUCGAAAUUUAGCAAUGACGGGAGUCGGAGAAUAAGGGUUUGACGCCGGAGAAGAAGCAUUUGACACGGCUUUUACUACUAAGGGAGGCAGCAGGCGCGUAAAUUUCUCCUUGUCUCUUUGGUGAAGAAGAAACAAAAUGGAACGAUGAGAAUGUUACAUUCUUACAUCAGAGUGCGCUACGUUCAUGCUGCCUACUUGUACCAUUGAAGGGCUAGCCUGGUGCCAGCAGCCGCGGUAACACCAGCUUCAAAACUGCAUAUGAAAGUUGCUGCGAUUGAAUUGUUUGUUCUCGAAGUUUUCCAAGUUGACAUGGAUUUUCAUGAAUUCGAUUGGGAUCUUGCUCACGCUACUCCGUAGCGCUGUCAUACAACUCUGUCUCGGCUUCUCUUUCACGCUCACGCUUCUGUCUUUGAAUUUAUUUCAUCAUGACACAUCCAUCGUCAUUGGCGCGCCAUCACAGUUACGAGGAUUGGCGAGGGGACUUGAAUUGCGUUGGAAGAGGUGAUAUUCUUUGAUCGACGUUGGUCAAACUCUUGCAAAAGCAUGUGUCAAGAAUGUGCUCAUCGACAUCGAACGAAAGCUUGGGAAGCGAAGACGAUUAGACACUGUCCUAGUCCUUGCUGAAAACAAUGUCAGUUCGUCACUAAUCUUAACAUCACGUCGGAUGUAGAAUCUUGUGAGAAAUCGGAAUGCUUUGGCUUUGGGGGAAGUAUUGACGCAAGUGCGAAACUUUAAGGAAUUGACGGAAGGGCACCACCAGAAAUGGAGCGUGCGGCUUAAUCUGAUUCAACGCUGAGCAUCUCACCAAAUCCAGACAGGAUAAGGAUUGACAGCUACACAUCAACAUGACUUGCCUAGUGGUGCAUGGCCGUUCGUGGUUGGUGGAUUGCUUUGUCUGGUUCAUUCCGUUAACGAGCGAGACAAUAGUUACCAAUUCUGAGAUUCACAAGUGGACCCCUGUGUGGUGAUAUCGUGCAAGGCAAACGGUUUCGAAUCUAAUGCUAAAACAGGUCUGUGAUGCCCUUUGAUGUCUUGGGUUGCGCGUGCGCUACACUGGUGAAGGAUGAUGGUAACGAUAAUGACAACUCAGUUCGUGAUUAGAAUCGUGCUCUGAAUGUUUUCUUGCAAUUGUGAACACUGAAUUCGGAAUUUCAAGUAUUUGCCUCUCAUCAUGAGGUGUGGAACGAGUCCCUGCCUUUUGUACACACCGCCCGUCGCUUCUACCAAUAGAACGGCUUGACAAAUUAUCACUCAUCAGCGACUCUGCUGUGACAGGUUCGUGAAUCAUGACGUUUAAAGGAAGGAGAAGUCGUAACAAGGUUGCUGUAGGUGAACCUUCAGCAG